UUUAAAGUUCUUAAAGUAGCAGAUUGUGUUCCCAAUGCAAGUCUUACAUAUACAUUUCUUUUGACCAUCCCUGUGACUAUUGCAUGAGCGAAACAGAGCUUUUCAAAAUUGAAGCUAUUGAAGUCUUAUAUGUCAAUAUGUCUACUACCAUGA
rnacentral:rRNA from 1 species